AUGACUCCUACCGAGGCUGACACUGAUGUAGAGGAGGGAGAAGAGCCGAAGAAGAAGGAAAGGAAAGCAGCCGGAGCUGCUUUCACGUGGAUUCAAGCAAACUUUGUGCAUUGCCCUGUGGAUGCGACUGAUGAUGUGAUACAGACACAUGCUCGUGUCUAUAUGUGGUACGUUGUCUCGAGGACUUUGUUACCUGACUCGACAGGCAAGAACGCUCCAUGGGUGUGGCUGAAGGCGUUGACCGUCUUCGAUAGCAGAUGGAGCUGGGGUUCAGCGACUCUUGCUUACUUGUACCAACAGGUACUUGUUUCAUUUUGCUAUCAAGUCAUUUCUUCAUUAGCAAAUGCAACCUUGCUGUCAUGUUAA
rnacentral:rRNA from 1 species